CCUGGUGGCUCAAACGAUAAAGCGUCUGCCUACAAUGCAGAUGACCCAGGUUCAAUCCCUGGGUCAGGA
rnacentral:tRNA from 1 species